GGCAAGGUGGCCGAGUGGUCUAAGGCGUACGACUCAAGUUCGUAUGAUGAAAAUCGCGUGGGUUCGAAUCCCACCCUUGUCA
rnacentral:tRNA from 1 species